AACAAACGCUGGCGGCGUGCCUAAUACAUGCAAGUCGAACGAGGUAGCAAUACCUAGUGGCGCACGGGUGAGUAACGCGUGGAUAAUCUGCCUUUGAGUGGGGGAUAACUAGUCGAAAGAUUAGCUAAUACCGCAUAAGACCACAGGAACUGAGGUUCUAGGGGUUAAAGGUUUUUCGCUCAUAGAUGAGUCCGCGUGAGAUUAGCUAGUUGGUGAGGUAACGGCUCACCAAGGCGACGAUCUCUAACUGGUCUGAGAGGAUGAUCAGUCACACUGGAACUAGGACACGGUCUAGACUCCUACGGGAGGCAGCAGUAGGGAAUAUUGCACAAUGGAGGAAACUCCUAUGCAGCGACGCCGCGUGAGUGAUGAAGGCUUUCGGGUCGUAAAGCUCUGUCGCAGGGGAAUAACACAAUGAAUGUACCCUGUAAGAAAGGAUCGGCUAACUUCGUGCCAGCAGCCGCCGUAA
rnacentral:rRNA from 1 species